AGUGAACGCUGGCGGUAGGCCUAACACAUGCAAGUCGAACGGCCGCACAGUAAGCGCUUUCUCUUACGGUUGGCGAGUGGCGGACGGGUGAGGAAUACAUCGGAAUCUACUUUUUCUUGGGGGAUAACGUAGGGAAACUUACGCUAAUACCGCAUACGACCUACGGGUUAAAGCAGGGGAUCUUCGGACCUUUCGCGAUUGUAUUAGCCGAUGUCGGAUUAGCUAGUUGGCUGGGUAAAGGCCCACCAAGGCGACGAUCCGUAGCUGGUCUGAGAGGAUGAUCAGCCACACUGGAACUGAGACACGGUCCAGACUCCUACGGGAGGCAGCAGUGGGGAAUAUUGGACAAUGGGCGCAAGCCUGAUCCAGCCAUGCCGCGUGGGUGAAGAAGGCCUUCGGGUUGUAAAGCCCUUUUGUUGGGAAAGAAAAGCAGCAGGUUAAUACCCCGCUGUUCUGACGGUACCCAAAGAAUAAGCACCGGCUAACUUCGUG
rnacentral:rRNA from 1 species